UACGUAGGGUGCAAGCGUUGUCCGGAAUUAUUGGGCGUAAAGAGCUCGUAGGCGGCUUGUCGCGUCGGCUGUGAAAACCUGGGGCUCAACCCCGGGCCUGCAGCCGAUACGGGCAAGCUAGAAUUCGGUAGGGGAGACUGGAAUCCUGGUGUAGCGGUGAAAUGCGCAGAUAUCUGGAGGAACACCGGUGGCGAAGGCGGCAUCCUGGACCGGCAUUGACGCUGAUGAGCGAAAGCCAGGGGAAGCCAAAGCGGG
rnacentral:rRNA from 1 species